GGGCUUGUAGUGGAAUGGUAACGCGUCUGACUCCAGAUCAGAAGGUUGCAUGUUCAAAUCACGUCAGGCUCA